rnacentral:rRNA from 1 species
GUGCUAGCCUGGAACUAUCGGGGGUUGGGGUUGCACUCGACAGUUGGCGAACUUCAGGACCUGAUUAGGUCAUACAACCCAGCGGUGGUUUUUCUUUCUGAAACAAAUAAGAAGGCGAGGGCGAUGGAAAAAUUAAAGUGGAGUUUGGGGUUUAGGAGUGGAGUAGCCGUGGACUGCCAGGGCUUGAGUGGUGGAUUAGCAUUGUGGUGGAGAGAUGGUGUGCAGGUAAAGGUGAGGCCGUGGUGCCAAUACUUCAUCGAUGUGGAAAUGGUGUGGGAGGGCAAAUCCUAUAGAUUCACUGGUUUCUAUGGGGAGCCUAAGACGGAAUUACGGAAAAAAUCCUGGGAUGCAAUUCGUUAUUUGAGGGCACAAGAUAAUCUUCCAUGGAUUUGUGUAGGUGACUACAAUGAGGCCCUCUUUCAAUCGGAUCAACUAGGUGGUAACCCAAGGCCAUUUGCUCAAAUGGAAGCUUUUCGGGACUGUUUGACCGAUUGUGGACUUGCUGAUUUGGGGUUCUCAGGGUACCCGUACACUUGGGAUAAUAGAUGGGAUGGUGCGAAUAAUGUUAAGGUUCGGCUAGACCGUGCCACAUGUACUGAUGGCUUUCUAGAGCUUCCCGGAGACGCACGUGGAGCACUUGGUAACGGAAGAAUCUGA